rnacentral:rRNA from 1 species
UAUCCUGUCUGAAUAUGGGGGGACCAUCCUCCAAGGCUAAAUACUCCUGACUGACCGAUAGUGAACCAGUACCGUGAGGGAAAGGCGAAAAGAACCCCGGCGAGGGGAGUGAAAAAGAACCUGAAACCGUGUACGUACAAGCAGUGGGAGCACCCUUUGGGUGUGACUGCGUACCUUUUGUAUAAUGGGUCAGCGACUUAUAUUCUGUAGCAAGGUUAACCGAAUAGGGGAGCCGGAGGGAAACCGAGUCUUAAUUGGGCGUUAAGUUGCAGGGUAUAGACCCGAAACCCGGUGAUCUAGCCAUGGGCAGGUUGAAGGUUGGGUAACACUAACUGGAGGACCGAACCGACUAAUGUUGAAAAAUUAGCGGAUGACCUGUGGCUGGGGGUGAAAGGCCAAUCAAACCGGGAGAUAGCUGGUUCUCCCCGAAAGCUAUUUAGGUAGCGCCUCGUGAAUUCAUCUCCGGGGGUAGAGCACUGUUUCGGCUAGGGGGCCAUCCCGGCUUACCAACCCGAUGCAAACUGCGAAUACCGGAGAAUGUUAUCACGGGAGACACACGGCGGGUGCUAACGUCCGUCGUGAAGAGGGAAACAACCCAGACCGCCAGCUAAGGUCCCAAAGUCAUGGUUAAGUGGGAAACGAUGUGGGAAGGCCCAGACAGCCAGGAUGUUGGCUUAGAAGCAGCCAUCAUUUAAAGAAAGCGUAAUAGCUCACUGGUCGAGUCGGCCUGCGCGGAAGAUGUAACGGGGCUAAACCAUGCACCGAAGCUGCGGCAGCGACACUGUGUGUUGUUGGGUAGGGGAGCGUUCUGUAAGCCUGUGAAGGUGUGUCGUGAGGCAUGCUGGAGGUAUCAGAAGUGCGAAUGCUGACAUAAGUAACGAUAAAGCGGGUGAAAAGCCCGCUCGCCGGAAGACCAAGGGUUCCUGUCCAACGUUAAUCGGGGCAGGGUGAGUCGACCCCUAAGGCGAGGCCGAAAGGCGUAGUCGAUGGGAAACGGGUUAAUAUUCCCGUACUUGGUGUUACUGCGAAGGGGGGACGGAGAAGGCUAUGUUGGCCGGGCGACGGUUGUCCCGGUUUAAGCGUGUAGGUGUGUGUUCCAGGUAAAUCCGGUUCACUUUAACACUGAGGCGUGACGACGAGGCACUACGGUGCUGAAGCAACAAAUGCCCUGCUUCCAGGAAAAGCCUCUAAGCAUCAGGUAACAUCAAAUCGUACCCCAAACCGACACAGGUGGUCAGGUAGAGAAUACCAAGGCGCUUGAGAGAACUCGGGUGAAGGAACUAGGCAAAAUGGUGCCGUAACUUCGGGAGAAGGCACGCUGACACGUAGGUGAAGUGAUUUACUCAUGGAGCUGAAGUCAGUCGAAGAUACCAGCUGGCUGCAACUGUUUAUUAAAAACACAGCACUGUGCAAACACGAAAGUGGACGUAUACGGUGUGACGCCUGCCCGGUGCCGGAAGGUUAAUUGAUGGGGUCAGCGCAAGCGAAGCUCCUGAUCGAAGCCCCGGUAAACGGCGGCCGUAACUAUAACGGUCCUAAGGUAGCGAAAUUCCUUGUCGGGUAAGUUCCGACCUGCACGAAUGGCGUAAUGAUGGCCAGGCUGUCUCCACCCGAGACUCAGUGAAAUUGAACUCGCUGUGAAGAUGCAGUGUACCCGCGGCAAGACGGAAAGACCCCGUGAACCUUUACUAUAGCUUGACACUGAACAUUGAGCCUUGAUGUGUAGGAUAGGUGGGAGGCUUUGAAGUGUGGACGCCAGUCUGCAUGGAGCCGACCUUGAAAUACCACCCUUUAAUGUUUGAUGUUCUAACGUGGACCCGUUACCCGGGUUGCGGACAGUGUCUGGUGGGUAGUUUGACUGGGGCGGUCUCCUCCUAAAGAGUAACGGAGGAGCACG